rnacentral:tRNA from 1 species
GUAGCUCAUUGGUAGAGUGCUUGCCUGGCAUGCAUGAGGUACUGAGUUCGAUUCCUCAGC